UUUAACGGUUUUGUUGCUGUUUGGAUGUGUUGUGCCUUUGUGUAACCAAAGUAUUUGUGGAGGACUAUACAAUGUAGCAGUAUUGUUUGUUUAAUACUGGGUCAUUGGAAAAUAGGUGUUGGACUGAUUGCCAGACGCUUCUGGGUAGUCGUGCAGUGUACUACUAAAGGUCUUGGGCAAAGCACCUGCCGGGUCGCUGUAUCACAAUUAAGCCACAGUAUCUAAAAGGAUCUUCAAGACUGGUGCAAGGGCUCGUUUUCCUCUGGUCAUCUUUUCACAUGGAGGUAGAUUGCUCCUGCUGCUUUGCUUUGCUUAAAUUAAGUGUAUUGAUAGCUGUGCCUCUUAUAUUUUUCUCUUUCUUCGUUAUUUUGCUGUGGCCUUUUGUCUAGUGCCCCUGUUGGUCCGUUGUGGUAUUGGCUGUUCCAGUAUUAUACAUGGUCUUAAGAUUCUGUUUGGAUGUAUAUCUUAUCUAUCUUGCUAGUGAUUAUGACCUCUUUGCCUUCCAUCUUUUUCUAGAGUAUUUAAGCAGCUGCUUAUAGGAGAGGUUCCUGGAUUUUCAUGCACUGCACUGUGUAUUGUAGUGGUAAAGUGCACCUCACAAUAUUGAUUGAAUCCCUUGCUUGCGGUGGUUGUGCCUGUGUGUGAGCGUUGUGAAUGCGUUUUACUGUAGGCACCAGAGUUUAAAGCACGGUUGGUGAACUUCACAUUUAUCCCGGACAAGUAACCUUUUCUGACCGUGAAUUAAUGACCCCCGUUACACUGCUAAUUAUAGUGUCCCCGGUAGCAGCCAAUACCAGUCCUGGCCAUCCUCUGUAAACAAAGUCUUUUGGUUGCAACUACUGUGCCUCUACCAUGACUGUGGCUCUUUUAAUUGUACCACUUACUAAUAAAGUGUCUUUAACUACUGAAAGCACAUUGGUUUAGUUAAUCUCUGGUGUAUUUCUAUGAACCUGCUUGCCUUAGGUUAGGUAUUCAGCAGUUAUUACGCAAAGUAUAUCUUGGUGUGAGAAGCACCAGGUGGCGUAGUAAAGAACGUUAAGCCUAGAUUUGGUAAGUUCUCUUAAGGUCACCUAGAUUUUUUUUUUUUCUUUUCAUUUAACACUUGUAAGAAUGAAAAUACCUGCAUGUUCAUUAAGUAAAUAAGUGAUCAUGAGUGUAGCAGACUAAUUUUUACUUAUGUAAAUAUAUUUUAAAGUAUCAUUCAUUUCAUGAAUAAAGGACUCUUGUCAAGGUUAGUCCAUUUGACCGAAUUAAUGUGACUAUUUAUAAAAUAUGAGAUUUUGCAUAUUUGCGUCAAAGUAUAGUAUGCAAAUAGGUUUAAACCUUUAUCUAUUUUUACCUUCACUGCAGUACUCCGUGUACGCUACUUAUACUAAAAUUGAUUGCAUAAAGGAAAGUCCACCCAAAAUCGGAAAUUGUGCCACAACACUGAUGUACAAAAAUUAUAGCGAUGUAAGAAUGAAAUAAGUAAACAAAAAUAAGAAUAAAAUAUAAAGGUAUAUUGCAGAAUUAAAUCUAGAAUGCAAAAUAAUGCGGAACACUGUUAUUUUGCAAAAUGUUGGUAACCAAACAGUUAAAUGCACAAUUUUCAUUCAGGUAUACCCUUUUUGUUAUAUAGAUGUAAUAUUUUCUUAUUUGCAUUUAUUGAUACACGCCCUGUUGGGUCAACUUAAUGGCUGCACUUUUGUCUG